GGGGAAUGCGCAGGGGCGCAGGGAUGCUUUGCAAGCAACCUUCGGUGAGUUCGAGUCUCACAUUCUCCACCA
rnacentral:tRNA from 2 species